GACCUCGUAGCUCAGCUGGUAGAGUGUACGCUGUACAAAAGCGUAGGCGGCGUCCACUUUGGGGUUCGAAUCCCAUCGAGGCUA
rnacentral:tRNA from 1 species